rnacentral:rRNA from 1 species
GACGAACGCUGGCGGCGCGCCUAAUACAUGCAAGUCGAGCGAGAACCGGGACUUCGGUCCCGGGGACAGCGGCGAACGGGUGCGUAACACGUGAGCAACCUGCCCCGAAGACCGGGACAAGCCGGGGAAACCUGGUCUAAUACCGGAUGUCCUCACCGAAUCGCAUGGUGUGGUGAGGAAAUGGAUUCCGCUUCGGGAUGGGCUCGCGGUCUAUCAGCUUGUUGGUGGGGUAACGGCCCACCAAGGCGACGACGGAUAGCUGGUCUGAGAGGACGAUCAGCCACACUGGGACUGAGACACGGCCCAGACUCCUACGGGAGGCAGCAGUGGGGAAUCUUGCGCAGUGGGCGAAAGCCUGACGCAGCGACGCCGCGUGAGGGAUGACGGCCU